AGAGUUUGAUCCUGGCUCAGAACGAACGCUGGCGGCGUGCCUAACACAUGCAAGUCGAGCGGUAACAGGAGAAGCUUGCUUCUCGCUGACGAGCGGCGCACGGGUGAGUAACACGUGGGUUAUCUGCCUCAAGGUCUGGGAUAACCAGGGGAAACCCUGGCUAAUACCGGAUAAGACCACUAAGUGAGAAAAGCGGGGGAUCGUAAGACCUCGCGCCAUGAGAUGAGCCCGCGUCCCAUCAGGUAGUUGGUAGGGUAAAGGCCUACCAAGCCUAAGACGGGUAGCUGGUCUGAGAGGAUGAUCAGUCACACUGGAACUGAGACACGGUCCAGACUCCUACGGGAGGCAGCAGUGGGGAAUAUUGCGCAAUGGGCGAAAGCCUGACGCAGCAACGCCGCGUGAGCGAUGAAGGCCCUCGGGUUGUAAAGCUCUGUUGGAAGGAAAGAUGGGUUUAAGAGUUAAUACCUCUUAGACUUGACGGUACCUUCAAAGAAAGCACCGGCUAACUCUGUGCCAGCAGCCGCGGUAAUACAGAGGGUGCAAGCGUUGUUCGGAAUCAUUGGGCGUAAAGCGCGCGUAGGCGGCCAAAUAAGUCUGAUGUGAAAGCCCAGGGCUCAACCCUGGAAGUGCAUCGGAAACUGUUUGGCUCGAGUCCCGGAGGGGGUGGUGGAAUUCCUGGUGUAGAGGUGAAAUUCGUAGAUAUCAGGAGGAACACCGGUGGCGAAAGCGACCACCUGGACGGUGACUGACGCUGAGGUGCGAAAGCAUGGGUAGCAAACAGGAUUAGAUACCCUGGUAGUCCAUGCCGUAACGAUGAGUACUAGCGCUGCGGGUAUUGACCCCUGCGUGCCGAAGUAACGCAUUAAGUACUCGCCUGGAGUACGGCGCAGGUAAACUCAAGGAAUGACGG
rnacentral:rRNA from 1 species